AGAAGUGAUUCACAUCAAAAGCAUGUACAUAUCACAAGUACAUAGGAGGAAUAUAUGAACUAGAAAUAAAAGAUGUAUCAUAGUGCUGAACAUGCACAAGUAGUAUGGUACUGGGAAAUAUAAGUUUCACACCACAUACAUAUAUAGUUUCACAUGCACAUAGUUAACACAGGGACUACAAUAUACACAUAACCACACAUGUAUACGACCAGGGGGUUACAAGAAGUGCUCACAGAUCAACAAAAUGAUUCGAACUAAACAAGCACAAGUCAAGAAAUGAACACAAAGGAGAUCACACACAUACACUAGCAGAAUAUUAAUUAAUAGAAAAUGACAAGUACCUACUAAACAUAUAUCAUAUUGCAAGUGCUCUUAGAAUCUGAACAUUACAAAGUUUUACAUCUCAGCUUACAGAAAAUUCAGAGAGAGAGGGAGAGAUUUCAGGUUCAAGAAGAAACAGAGGCAGCAGGGGGGUUGAGAAGGAGCAGCAGCAGAGGGCAUGAGGAGAGAACUUUAGCAAGGCAGGGGAAGAAGCAAAGCAAGCGAAGGAAAGAGGAGCAGCAAAGGGGGCGCUGGAAGGAGUAGCAGUAGCAAGGGGAGAAGAAAGGCAGCAGCAGUAGGGAUUCAGAGAGGAAGCAGCAGCAGUUUUGGAGAGAAGGAGGAGCAGCAGCGAGGAGGUUGAGGAGAAGAAGGAAGGUUGUAGGGGCAUGGAGAAGAGGAGCAGCGAGGGAAGGAGAAGAGCAGCAGGAGAGGCGUGGGAGAAGAAGCAGCAGGGAGAGUUGCGCGGGGCGCUGCGGUGCUGGUGGCUGGAGAUGGUGGCGCUGGUGACGGCGGUGUGGAUGGAUGAUGGUGGAUGCGGGGAAGGAGAAGAAGAUGGUGGCGCAGGUGGAUGGAUGGGAGGCGUAGGCGCACCACCACGCCGGCCUGGCCGUGGCGGCGGCCAGAGUUGGAGAAGGAUGGGUGAGGGAGAGAGAGAUAUGCCAGGCCCGAUGGGGAAUGGAGCCGAUCUAGGGAUUUUGAUCCCCUCCAUGCAGAUUUUGAUGUUUGCACAUGGGCCCUCCUACUAUCUUCUUCCUUCCCAAGUAGAUCCCCUCUCUUCUAUAGUUAUCCCCUUUGGUUACUUCUUGUCGUCACACACAAGCCCUUCUCUCUUCUCGUUAGCCACAUAGUAGAAAUCUUGACGAUUAUAGUGCCUUGCGCACUUUUCUGCAAAAGAAACAAAUGACACGUAAAUGAUCUUUUAUAUGAUUUUCAUUCAAAUAUAUCACAACUCAUAGCAAGAAUGGAUGGAUAUAUCACGAUAGAUGCUAAAUUUGAGUGCCAAAUUAUAUAUAUGAAAUGCACUUAUCAAGUUGCCCCACACUUAAAUCUUUGCUUGUUCUCAAGCAAAGGAAUAUGACAAAGGCAAGAUAAUGAACAGUAAACUGAGUAAGGAAUGUCCUGGUAAAAUAGAUCUCCAAACAAGGCAUGCUUCACACUUAUCUAGUGAAAAUUAAUGGUUAGAGUGCUACAAAGCAGUAGGAGACUAGUAAGCAUGACCAUUUUAAACUUUUACAGAGAUAAGAGAAGAUCAACAAGUUUAUAUGAUGACUGCGCCAAAUGGUUCCUAAAGAGAGCAUGAUCCCAAGAACAAAAUGAACUGGAAUUAAAUCUUGUGAUCAAAUCACUUAUUUACAGAGAUAAAGCAAUGAUUAUAUUAUUAUUAGUCUCACCAUAGGAACAUACCACCGAUCCCGAGAACAUGGUAUACACCUGGCUCGACCAAUUAUUAGUUUUUUUUGUUUGUCUCCCCAAAGGAACAUACCACCGAUCCCGAGAACAUGGUAUACACCUGGUUCAACAAUUACAUUUUUUUAUUAAUUACUGCCCAAGCUAACCCGAUUUCACAUGCCACCGAUCCCGGGAACAUGACAUGCUACUAUAGGUAGUCAGACUUAUUUAUUCAUUAUUACUUAUCUUAAAUGAACAACGCAUAAGCACAAAAACAGGAAUCAUCACUUCUCCAUGUCUGGUUCACAUGCUACCGAUCCAGGGAACAUAGCAUGCUAAUCCAUAAUGGUUAGGUGAUUGCUCUCAAUGGGAACACACUUAGCACAAAUUCAGCAUCUAAACAUGGUGAUCUAGGCGUAUCAAGGUAAAAGCAGAAAAUAAUUAAGUUUUCUAGUGUACUAGGGAUUUGAGCACUCAAAACUAAUAGCUUUCACUAAUUUCAGCAAAGCAAGCAUUGUAAAGAUCACUAGUUUACCAGGCAUUCAACACUCAGUUCACAUAUUCUCAUCAAGCACCAUAUGUCAAGUAAAAUUCAGUGGGGCAACAUUUAAGACAUGGCUUAAGCAACCCAAAUAACAUUUGAUUUCAGCAUGUAUCAAUGGAUGAUAUACUAGGAAUGGGUCAUGAAACAGCUCACCGGGUUUUCAUAGGAAGUAGCACUCGCUCGAUCACCUCACCAACUGCAGCUCCUCUCCUUUGCUUCCUCGUGCAUUGUGACUCCUCUCCUAUUGCUUUCCUAUCCUCAUGCAUGCUCCAGCUUCACUCUUCUUCGUAUGUGCCCCUUGCUUCUCCUCAUCCCCAUGCUCAGAGUCCACCAGGGUCCCAAGGAAUGUCACCUCGAACCUGGUCAGCAUGCAAUGGAUCGUGCACAAGCAAAAACCUGAAAGAGCACUCAACGAAAGAGACAAUGCAAGUGGUAGGGAUAAUACCCUCCAAGUCAUCAAUCGAAUAUUCAAUUACAUAAGCAUAGCUAUAAAGCACAUGUUUAGGAUGAUAGAAAUUAGCAAAGUCAACACUAACAUGAGGAUGAUAUUUUUCAUUAAGCUCAAGACUAGCAUAAGAAUGAUAUGUUUCAUUAACCAUAGGUCUAGCACGAGGAAAGUAACUGUGAUCAUCAUUAAUGUGAGUAAUGCCACUAACAGGGUAUAUAUGAUCAUAUCCAAGCAAAUACUUUUUCUAAUCUACUUUAACAGAUGGCAUCAUGCAAUGCAAGGUAGAAGCAAAGGAAUCAUAAGGACGCAUGUCAUUGAGAGGAUUGGGUAAACCUGACACAUGACGCUCUGGUAUGACAAUAGGCAAAUGAAUCUCAUGUUCUUCAUCUUCAUCUACAUCAGCUUCUUGUACUUCUUCAGGAGUAAUAGAUGAUGAGUCUUCAACUUGAUCACUUGGGAAUUGCAGCUCUUCACCAUCUUGUUCCUUGUCUUCUAGUUCAUCUUCUUCAAUCUGAGGUCUUUCUUCCUCAGGACUCUUGCUAUCUUGCUCAACUGGAUGUGACGGUGUUGGAACCUCACAUGUAUCAAGGGGAAUCUCGGCCACACUCAACUCAAGGAGGGAAGAGAUAGUACUGCCAGCGUUGAUGUUCUUCUCAAUCUUCCUUACUUCUUCCACUAGCUCCUUUCCACUCUUAAUCUUCUUCAUUUCCUCAAGUAUCACCUUCCUAAUAGGAUCAUCCUCGGCACUCCAAGUGAACUCGAGACUCAAAAGUGUGAGCUCGUCUAUGUGAUCGAACUCAUCUUGAGUGGGCACUUGAGAUUGCACAACAGGUGCUGGAGUUGUUGGUUGACCAAAUGGAGGACCAUUUAACUCCAUUGGCAACAUCUCCUGGUGCAGAGGUAUAUGAAUAGGAGCUGAAUAAGACUGUUGUGGAGCAUAGUUGUGGCUCUCCUCUUCAUACCUAAAUCCCUGCAUAUGAUUACUAGAAGCAAACGGUGAGAUCUCAGGGUUGUUUCUCCUAUAUGACAUAUUCGGGUUUUCAGGCCACCCAUAUGAGUAAUUGUUUUGGUAUGAGCUAGGCUAUGGGGCGAAGCUCAUGCCAUAACAAUUGGGAGGAUGGGAGUAACCACGCUGACAUUCAGCGGGCGAAUGGCCCUGAAAUCCACAAAUAUGGCAGGUAGGAGCAACAUAAGGAUGGCCUCUAGAAUAAGGACCAUAAGAGCUAGUCCUAUCCUCAAAAACUACUUCUCGCUGCCGAGCUAAAUCAUCUAGUCGAUGGGAAAUCUUACCUAUCAGUUCUUGAACACUUUCCGUGCUGUUUGUAGAGUUGCUCGCAUAAGCAUGAUGAUCUGAAUAGUAAGCCAUAUCCGAGAAGAUGGUUCUAACCUGCAAAAAGGAAAAGAAAACAAAGAGGAAAUAAUCUAGAACAAGGGUUAGGAGUUAGAGAUAUAUCACAAAUAUAUGGCACAAAAUAGAAAAAGAAGAAGAAACUAGUCUAUAGCCUAACACGGUCACUCGACACUAGUCCCCAGCGACGGCGCCAAAAUGAUCGUUUGUAAUAUAGUAGGGUUUUUAUGCCCAAACUACGGAUGUCGUGUUCUCCACAGGGACUAGGCGACGGCAACAACGCUCGGCUAAAUCUAGGUAACACAAUAUUGGGUGAUGAAAGCAGAAUACUAAAUCUAGACUAACUAAGAUCAUUCGGGAAAAAUCAUCGACAAAAGAAAAUGAAAAGAAGCAAAGGAAGGUUCAGAUUAUACUCUCUGUCUUUUUGGUAUUUUCAUAUUACUUGAGAAACUAAAAUAAACACACAGAACAUCAACAUCGACAGAAAGAAAGUACUAAUAUAUGAUCACAAAUAUAACUAGUAGUUAUAUAAAAGAAGAAAAACACAAAACAAAGAUAAUGGGACAAGGACAGAAGUGAUUCACAUCAAAAGCACGUACAUAUCACAAGUACAUAGGAGGAAUAUAUGAACUAGAAAUAAAAGAUGUAUCAUAGUGCUGAACAUGCACAAGUAGUAUGGUACUGGGAAAUAUAAGUUUCACACCACAUACAUAUAUAGUUUCACAUGCACAUAGUUAACACAGGGACUACAAUAUACACAUAACCACACAUGUAUACGACCAGGGGGUUACAAGAAGUGCUCACAGAUCAACAAAAUGAUUCGAACUAAACAAGCACAAGUCAACAAAUGAACACAAAGGAGAUCACACACAUACACUAGCAGAAUAUUAAUUAACAGAAAAUGACAAGUACCUACUAAACAUAUAUCAGAUUGCAAGUGCUCUUAGAAUCUGAACAUUACAAAGUUUUACAUCUCAGCUUACAGAAAAUUCAGAGAGAGAGAGAGAUUUCAGGUUCAAGAAGAAACAGAGGCAGCAGGGGGGUUGAUAAGGAGCAGCAACAGAGGGCGUGAGGAGAGAACUUUAGCAGGGCAGGGGAAGAAGCAGAGCAAGCGAAGGAAAGAGGAGCAGCAAAGGGGGCGCUGGAAGGAGGAGAAGUAGCAAGGGGAGAAGAAAGGCAGCAGCAGUAGGGAUUCAGAGAGGAAGCAACAGCAGUUUUGGAGAGAAGGAGGAGCAGCAGCGAGGAGGUUGAGGAGAAGAAGGAAGGCUGCAGGGGCGUGGAGAAGAGGAGCAGCGAGGGAAGGAGAAGAGCAACAGGAGAGGCAUGGGAGAAGAAGCAGCAGGGAGAGUCGCGCGGGGCGCUGUGGUGCUGGUGGCUGGAGAUGGUGGCGCUGGUGACGGCGGUGUGGAUGGAUGAUGGUGGAUGCGGGGAAGGAGAAGAAGAUGGUGGCGCUGGUGGAUGGAUGGGAGGCGAAGGCGCACCACCACGCCGGCCUGGCCGUGGCGGCGGGCGGAGUUGGAGAAGGAUGGGUGAGGGAGAGAGAGAUAUGCCAGGCCCGAUGGGGACUGGAGCCGAUCUAGGGAUUUUGAUCCCCUCCCUGCAGAUUUUGAUGUUUGCACAUGGGCCCUCCUACUAUCUUCUUCCUUCCCAAGUAGAUCCCCUCUCUUCUAUAGUUAUCCCCUUUGGUUACUUCUUGUCGUCACACACAAGCCCUUCUCUCUUCUCGUUAGCCACAUAGUAGAAAUCUGGACGAUUAUAGUGCCUUGCGCACUUUUCUGCAAAAGAAACAAGUGACACGUAAAUGAUCUUUUAUAUGAUUUUCAUUCAAAUAUAUCACAACUCAUAGCAAGAAUGGAUGGAUAUAUCACGAUAGAUGCUAAAUUUGAGUGCCAAAUUAUAUA
rnacentral:lncRNA from 1 species